UGAUUUUUAUUUUGAUUCUGAUUUUGAUUUUGAAUGCGAAGAAAAUGUCUGUGAUUACUUGCUACUUUUGCACUAAUAUUACUUUGUUUAUAGUUUUAUUAUUAUUGUUAUUAUUAUUAUAUCAGUUUCUUACUACCUAUGUAUUUUCAACAAUUUUGUAAUUUUGUAAUUAUUUGGAUUUGUGGUAAAAAGGAGAAUUAUCUCCAUGAUCAGUAAAUGAAUAAAUAAA